CUUCCAAGAUGGCGGCGCGUCCGUCGCGAGCGACCGGGCCGAGGGGAGGCCAGCGAAGCCGAGUAAAACCGCCGCCCGGGAGAAGACUGAAGGAGCAGUUGCCGCCGUUGGCGGCGGCCCGAGCAGUUUUCGCUGCUGCUACGGCUGUUGCCAUGAGGCGAGGCUAGGGAGGACCUCACUUCCCCGGGGUGUAAUAAUGUUAACUGAGGCCAGUCUAUCCAUAUGGGGAUGGGGAAGCCUUGGCAUUGUCCUUUUUCUGAUAACCUUUGGACCCUUUGUAAUAUUUUAUUUGACAUUUUAUAUCCUCUGCUUUGUGGGUGGGGGUUUAGUGGUUACUCUCCUGUUUGGAAAAACAAACUCAGAGAAGUACCUAGAACAGUGUGAACACUCAUUUCUUCCUCCAACAUCACCUGGGGUUCCUAAGAAGAAAUGAAACGGGAAGCCAGGACUAUUAAGAUUGAUAGAAGAUUGACGGGUGCCAAUAUAAUUGAUGAACCUCUCCAGCAA
rnacentral:lncRNA from 1 species